CACCUGGAGACUUCUUAACAGAGACAAUAAUUGUCUUUCAUUUUACAGUUGCCGAUUUUUACCAGUGUUGUGAACAGCCUCCGGGUUGUUGUCGAGCGCAAGCUCGCUCUGCCUGCUAAAAUGGCGGCCGAGGGCGUCCAUUGGAUACUUCACUGGUUCGCACGAGUGGGCUAUCUUGCUCCGCUUUACGACCUCUGGUCGGAACUGCUGUUGAGCUCAAUUCUGCCGUUUAAAUUUUGAAAAUCGGUUCAGGUUAAGAGUUCGUACAGCGUUUUAUUAACCGUGUGCGGAAAUUAAAUAAGUCAUGCACGGAAACGUCGGGAUUCGCCCGGAGACACUCGGAGUUUUCGUGUGUGGCGUAUCUAGAGCCUAUUGGCUCUGAAAACGAAGAAGAAGAACAGAAUAAUAAGAACACCUGGUCUCUCAUCAAAAGAAGGAUUAUUCACAAUAGCUCGAGUCCAAUAACGGAGCACCCACCUCAAAUAAGCUUGCGUGCCAAGUUUCCCUCGUAAGUCGUGAUCAAGAGGAAGACACUGCCCAAAGACAAGCUUCCAGCCGGCGUCAUUGUCCGUGCGCAGCAGGAGGAGUGGAUACGAUAGACGAGGAACAUGUGGUGUACCCCGGUGAUUCGUGGAUCGACGACCCGAAGGAAUGGCCGAACGUGCAAUACCCGGACGGAUACGCGUAUCUCGUCAAGACACCAGCACAAGUCUGUGGGGGAGCAUCAUUGGCUGAAGGCGUGGCUGUGCUGCUGAUGCAAUGUCCUCCGCUGGUUGGGGCAGGAAUUUGUAAUUUGUGCAUGGUGCCGGCGAUAGCUCACCUACUCUUCGCAAAGGACACCAUGGGAUCUUCAACAUCCACAAUCAAUUGCUGGCAGACGGGACGCUUUGAGGGCCAAGUUUGA
rnacentral:lncRNA from 1 species